AUUGAACGCUGGCGGAAUGCUAUACACAUGCAAGUCGAACGGCAGCACGGACUUCGGUCUGGUGGCGAGUGGCGAACGGGUGAGUAAUACAUCGGAACGUGCCCAGUCGUGGGGGACAACGUAGCGAAAGCUACGCUAAUACCGCAUACGAUCUACGGAUGAAAGCGGGGGAUCGCAAGACCUCGCGCGACUUGAGCGGCCGAUGGCAGAUUAGGUAGGUGGUGGGGUAAAGGCUCACCAAGCCGACGAUCUGUAGCUGGUCUGUGAGGACGACCAGCCACACUGGUACUGAGACACGGCCCAGACUCCUACGGGAGGCAGCGGUGGGGAAUUUUGGACAAUGGGCGCAAGCCUGAUCCAGCCAUUCCGCGUGCAGGAUGAAGGCCCUCGGGUUGUAAACUGCUUUUGUACGGAACGAAAAGGCCCUGGUUAAUACCUGGGGCUCAUGACGGUACCGUAAGAAUAAGCACCGGCUAACUGCGUGCCAGCCGCCGCCGUAA
rnacentral:rRNA from 1 species